rnacentral:sRNA from 1 species
UAUUUCUCCGUACGGGGAAGGAUGAGAAGCUUCGACUAAGGUUCGAUUCGAGCGAAAGCGAGAAAGCGUUGCCAACGGCAACGACCCGAAGGGCGAAGCGCGCAGCGCUGAGUCAUCCUUCCCCCACCACCA